rnacentral:rRNA from 1 species
UCUUUUCAUUGUGUGCCAGCAGCCGCGGUAAUACGGAGGAUCCGAGCGUUAUCCGGAUUUAUUGGGUUUAAAGGGAGCGUAGAUGGAUGUUUAAGUCAGUUGUGAAAGUUUGCGGCUCAACCGUAAAAUUGCAGUUGAUACUGGAUGUCUUGAGUGCAGUUGAGGCAGGCGGAAUUCGUGGUGUAGCGGUGAAAUGCUUAGAUAUCACGAAGAACUCCGAUUGCGAAGGCAGCCUGCUAAGCUGCAACUGACAUUGAGGCUCGAAAGUGUGGGUAUCAAACAGG